rnacentral:rRNA from 1 species
AGCUCCGAUAGCGUAUAUUAAAGUUGUUGCAGUUAAAAAGCUCGUAGUUGAACUUCUGGCAUGAUGGCCGAUCCCACGGGACUCGUUGCUGUCUUUGUCAUCCCCUUUGAAUUAAAAACAUGAUCUUUGUUGCUCAGUUUGGUAUUCAAGGAAUUUACUUUGAAAAAUUAGAGUGUUUCAAGCAAGCGAUUCGCUGGAAUACAUUAGCAUGGAAUAAUAGAAUAUGACCUCUGUAUCAUUUAUUGGUCCAAUGUUUAGAGGUAAUGAUUAACAGGGACAGUUGGGGGCAUUAGUACUGCUUUGUCAGAGGUGAAAUUCAUUGAUUAUCGCAAGACUAACUUAUGCGAAAGCAUUUGCCAAGGAUGUUUUCAUUAAUCAAGACGAAGUUACG